GGCUUUUCACCAUUGGCUGCUGUCGCCCGGAAGAAAAAAAAAAACUAAAAAAAUUGCCUGGGGCUCACUUCAAAAAUAUACCUGUAUCAAACGCUGCAACCUAAAACGGCACAGGUAAAAAAAUACCCGUUCUCAUUCAAACAAGGGCAGCAUAUGUCUAUAUGGAUAUCAGUGCACCAAUAAUGCAGGGUAUUUUAAGCAAUUACUGUAGUUAAUUUUUUUUGAACCAGCGCACAUUUUUAUAAAUCAAUAAAUCAACACAAUUUACAGCGAGAUGAAAUACAUACUGUAUUUUCGGUUAUUGGCAUUAGUUUCAAAAGAAACGUGCUGGGCGGAAUGGUAGAGGUUAGUAACCCACAUGAACGGAUACGACAUUACUAUCAAAUACAAGCUGGUCCUAUUUGUACCAUGACUCACAAACAAAACAAGGUCGAAUACGUGGAAUAAAAAAGAAACAAACAUCCCCAAGCGAUCAACGAUAGUGACGGAACGGAGAUUACCACUUUAUCCCUGGAGAAAUUAAGGAUCUACAAACGAAGGUCACAAAACAAUAGGAUUACAUUCAAAGACUAAAGUUUUGGUUAUUUACUUUUUACUCUGUCGUGGGAUUUGGACCAACUAUUUCAAAUUUUGAAUUAUUAUUAUUAUUGAAAUGGAAAACCCGAGAAAACCAUUUACAACAUUGGGCCAAGUUUUUCAAAACUAUUUGUAGAUUGUAGAAAAACUACACAGGAGAAAUGUUGGAAUCGGGUAAGAAUCGUAAGUUAUCAUGACUGUUCUUUCGGGCAGUGACGCUGUGAUACUUUUGAUCCAAAAACUGAAGACGACCAUCUAGAUGAUUGAGGAAACGAAACGCUUCUUGAAUUCUUUUCUGGCACACGACUCGGUUGCGCACAUUUUGAUGUGGAACAGGAGGACCAUGUUGCGGCUUUGUCAACGUAUUAUCUUCUACGAUGACGCGAUCGUUUUUAUGGUUUAGGAGGUAAUCGAUUUUGUCUUCUGAAUCUUGUAACUUUAAUUUGCACAUCUCAAGAGCAGAUUGAGAUUUCCCCAAUUUGUUUUGGAGUUUGGUUAUCUCGUCAUUCAAGUCAGUUGACAUGCGUUGGAAAGAUAGGCAAUUCUCAUCCGUUUGCGUUUCAGCUAAACUAACAGCUGGAAGAGUUUGGACAAACUGCGUCCUUAAAAUCUUCUCAUCAAUGUCUAGUGUCUGCGAUUGCGCGUUCAAGAGCAGUUUUUUAGGAGACUCGUCAGUGCAUUGGCAAGAUUUGUUUGCAAAGGCCUUGCUGGAUAUCUUGCCAAAAGCAUCCACUACCCAGUUGAGCAAACAUGUUUUCCCAUCAUUACUAGGUACCAUGUUAUCACUUGUUACACCUAAGGGAUUUAAGAGGUCUUUCCACUGACACUUGUCCAGAUAUUGGGGACUGGACUGUUGGAUAGAUAAGCACUCACUGGCGAAAACAGAUGAAGUGUAGAACAUUUUGUGAUGCUUGAGGUAUUCAUAAAUCAUAACAUUAAUGGCGUCAUCCUUUGGUGAGAAUUUCACUUGUUUUGAAGUUGAUCCCAGUUCCGUUUUAAGUUUUUCAACCAUCCUCAUUCGAAGAAAUGAUUGUAGUUCUCCCAUAAUUCCUUUUUCCUUUAGCCUGAAAAUUUAUUCACAUUAUUAGAAAACUGUAGUCAUUGAUGUAUGCUAUCUCUUUAAUACAACACUUUUAAACAACAAAAA